UUUUUUUUGAUAAGACAUAAGUAUAUUAGAAGUUGUGGAUUACCUUCUUCUAAACUGAUAUUGUCCUUAAUAUUUUCUUUGUUCUCAAGUCCUCUCUUCUAUUUAUCUUAAGCGAUAUUAGACAUCUUUUCUUUUCUGAGUGUUAUCAUGGCAAAACUUGCUGAAAUAAAGAAUGCAAUGGUACAAAUGUAAGAGCAAUUGAGGGAGUUAAUGCUUGCGAUGUAUCAACUCAAUUUACCACUACAAUGAGCAACACGAUUGGCAGGAAGUGAAGAUAUAGAAAUGAUUGGAGUUGCUUUAAUAUCUGCAUCAAAUCAUGUCUUUUC
rnacentral:lncRNA from 1 species